rnacentral:rRNA from 1 species
UACGGAGGGGCUAGCGUUGUUCGGAAUUACUGGGCGUAAAGCGCGCGUAGGCGGACCUGCAAGUCGGGGGUGAAAGCCCGAGGCUCAACCUCGGAACUGCCUUCGAUACUGCGGGUCUCGAGUCCGGGAGAGGUGAGUGGGAAUUCCUAGUGUAGAGGUGAAAUUCGUAGAUAUUAGGAAGAACACCAGUGGCGAAGGCGGCUCACUGGCCCGGUACUGACGCUGAGGCGCGAAAGCGUGGGGAGCAAACAGG